GGCUGGGGGAGGGGGAGUGGGCAGCACCAGAGGGGGCUUCACUAAUCCACUCCAGUUUGUCCCCCAAGACAAGAAACUCAUGAUUGAGAAUGAGCAAGUGUGCGCUAGAAGUGUGACCUCAAAACUAGUGACAGGUGCGAUGCGGGAGGCGCUAUCGAUCGAACACAAACAGAGACUCCUAGAUGGCACGUGGGAUAAGCUGUUCAACCAACUGGUCGCCCAUUACGUCACACACAUGGUCGACUACAGAACCUUCGUCACGAAGAGUCUCAAAGAAAUAGAAGUGUCCGAUAUAUAACAAAACGAAGUGUGACUAAAUAAUACAUAGAAAGCUUGGUUUCGAACCAACGUAAACUUUCCAAAGAAAUGAAACUCUUGUAUUUUUGUGCAAUGCUUUAUCUAAGACAGAAUUAUUUGCAAAUUCUUGCAAAUGUUAUUAAUGGAGUUAGAAACGCGAGUUGCGAAAAUUGCGCUGUCAGAUUUAAUUCUUUUUUUUUGUUAAAAAAAGUUAUAUUUUGGUUUAACUCAAAUCUAGUUGAAUAGGAACUGAAAAUUAUUUAAUGUACUGAAGUUAUAGAUAUGUAUAUUGCAGUAAAUGUAAAUAGUUGUAAAUUGAAUUUAAGGUACUUUGUUA